rnacentral:rRNA from 1 species
UUAAGCGACUAAGCGUACACGGUGGAUGCCCUGGCAGUCAGAGGCGAUGAAGGACGUGCUAAUCUGCGAAAAGCGUCGGUAAGGUGAUAUGAACCGUUAUAACCGGCGAUGUCCGAAUGGGGAAACCCAGUGUGAUUCGUCACACUAUCGUUAACUGAAUACAUAGGUUAACGAGGCGAACCGGGGGAACUGAAACAUCUAAGUACCCCGAGGAAAAGAAAUCAACCGAGAUUCCCCCAGUAGCGGCGAGCGAACGGGGAGCAGCCCAGAGUCUGAAUCAGCUUGUGUGUUAGUGGAACGGUCUGGAAAGUCCGACGGUACAGGGUGAUAGUCCCGUACACCAAAAUGCACAGGUUGUGAACUCGAAGAGUAGGGCGGGACACGUGGUAUCCUGUCUGAAUAUGGGGGGACCAUCCUCCAAGGCUAAAUACUCCUGACUGACCGAUAGUGAACCAGUACCGUGAGGGAAAGGCGAAAAGAACCCCGGCGAGGGGAGUGAAAAAGAACCUGAAACCGUGUACGUACAAGCAGUGGGAGCACCUUCGGGUGUGACUGCGUACCUUUUGUAUAAUGGGUCAGCGACUUAUAUUCUGUAGCAAGGUUAACCGUAUAGGGGAGCCGCAGGGAAACCGAGUCUUAACUGGGCGUUAAGUUGCAGGGUAUAGACCCGAAACCCGGUGAUCUAGCCAUGGGCAGGUUGAAGGUUGGGUAACACUAACUGGAGGACCGAACCGACUAAUGUUGAAAAAUUAGCGGAUGACUUGUGGCUGGGGGUGAAAGGCCAAUCAAACCGGGAGAUAGCUGGUUCUCCCCGAAAGCUAUUUAGGUAGCGCCUCGUGAACUCAUCUUCGGGGGUAGAGCACUGUUUCGGCUAGGGGGUCAUCCCGACUUACCAACCCGAUGCAAACUACGAAUACCGAAGAAUGUUAUCACGGGAGACACACGGCGGGUGCUAACGUCCGUCGUGAAGAGGGAAACAACCCAGACCGCCAGCUAAGGUCCCAAAGUCAUGGUUAAGUGGGAAACGAUGUGGGAAGGCACAGACAGCCAGGAUGUUGGCUUAGAAGCAGCCAUCAUUUAAAGAAAGCGUAAUAGCUCACUGGUCGAGUCGGCCUGCGCGGAAGAUGUAACGGGGCUAAACCAUGCACCGAAGCUGCGGCAGCGACACUAUGUGUUGUUGGGUAGGGGAGCGUUCUGUAAGCCUGCGAAGGUGACCUGUGAGGGUUGCUGGAGGUAUCAGAAGUGCGAAUGCUGACAUAAGUAACGAUAAAGCGGGUGAAAAGCCCGCUCGCCGGAAGACCAAGGGUUCCUGUCCAACGUUAAUCGGGGCAGGGUGAGUCGACCCCUAAGGCGAGGCCGAAAGGCGUAGUCGAUGGGAAACAGGUUAAUAUUCCUGUACUUGGUGUUACUGCGAAGGGGGGACGGAGAAGGCUAUGUUAGCCGGGCGACGGUUGUCCCGGUUUAAGCAUGUAGGCUGAUUGUCCAGGCAAAUCCGGAUAAUCAAGGCUGAGGUGUGAUGACGAGGCACUACGGUGCUGAAGUAACAAAUGCCCUGCUUCCAGGAAAAGCCUCUAAGCAUCAGGUAACAUCAAAUCGUACCCCAAACCGACACAGGUGGUCAGGUAGAGAAUACCAAGGCGCUUGAGAGAACUCGGGUGAAGGAACUAGGCAAAAUGGUGCCGUAACUUCGGGAGAAGGCACGCUGGUGUGUAGGUGAAGUCCCUGCGGAUGGAGCUGAGACCAGUCGAAGAUACCAGCUGGCUGCAACUGUUUAUUAAAAACACAGCACUGUGCAAACACGAAAGUGGACGUAUACGGUGUGACGCCUGCCCGGUGCCGGAAGGUUAAUUGAUGGGGUUAUCCGUAAGGAGAAGCUCUUGAUCGAAGCCCCGGUAAACGGCGGCCGUAACUAUAACGGUCCUAAGGUAGCGAAAUUCCUUGUCGGGUAAGUUCCGACCUGCACGAAUGGCGUAAUGAUGGCCAGGCUGUCUCCACCCGAGACUCAGUGAAAUUGAACUCGCUGUGAAGAUGCAGUGUACCCGCGGCAAGACGGAAAGACCCCGUGAACCUUUACUAUAGCUUGACACUGAACAUUGAGCCUUGAUGUGUAGGAUAGGUGGGAGGCUUUGAAGCGUGGACGCCAGUCUGCGUGGAGCCAACCUUGAAAUACCACCCUUUAAUGUUUGAUGUUCUAACGUUGGCCCCUUACCGGGGUUGCGGACAGUGUCUGGUGGGUAGUUUGACUGGGGCGGUCUCCUCCCAAAGCGUAACGGAGGAGCACGAAGGUUAGCUAAUCCUGGUCGGACAUCAGGAGGUUAGUGCAAUGGCAUAAGCUAGCUUGACUGCGAGCGUGACGGCGCGAGCAGGUGCGAAAGCAGGUCAUAGUGAUCCGGUGGUUCUGAAUGGAAGGGCCAUCGCUCAACGGAUAAAAGGUACUCCGGGGAUAACAGGCUGAUACCGCCCAAGAGUUCAUAUCGACGGCGGUGUUUGGCACCUCGAUGUCGGCUCAUCACAUCCUGGGGCUGAAGUAGGUCCCAAGGGUAUGGCUGUUCGCCAUUUAAAGUGGUACGCGAGCUGGGUUUAGAACGUCGUGAGACAGUUCGGUCCCUAUCUGCCGUGGGCGCUGGAGAAUUGAGGGGGGCUGCUCCUAGUACGAGAGGACCGGAGUGGACGCAUCACUGGUGUUCGGGUUGUCAUGCCAAUGGCACUGCCCGGUAGCUAAAUGCGGAAGAGAUAAGUGCUGAAAGCAUCUAAGCACGAAACUUGCCCCGAGAUGAGUUCUCCCUGAGACUUUAAGUCUCCUGAAGGAACGUUGAAGACGACGACGUUGAUAGGCCGGGUGUGUAAGCGCAGCGAUGCGUUGAGCUAACCGGUACUAAUGAACCGUGAGGCUUAACCUU